CCUACGGGUGACUGCAGUCGAGAAUCAUUCACAAUGGGAGAAACCCUGAUGGUGCGACGCCGCGUGGGGGAAUGAAGGUCUUCGGAUUGUAAACCCCUGUCAUGUGGGAGCAAAUUAAAAAGAUAGUACCCCAAGAGGAAGAGACGGCUAACGCUGUGCCAGCAGCCGCGGUAAUACAGAGGUCUCAAGCGUUGUUCGGAAUCACUGGGCGGAAAGCGUGCGUAGGCUGUUUCGUAAGUCGUGUGUGAAAGGCGCGGGCUCAACCCGCGGACGGCACAUGAUACUGCGAGACUAGAGUAAUGGAGGGGGAACCGGAAUUCUCGGUGUAGCAGUGACAUGCGUAGAUAUCGAGAGGAACACUCGUGGCGAAGGCGGGUUCCUGGACAUUAACUGACGCUGAGGCACGAAGGCCAGGGGAGCGAAAGGGAUUAGAUACCCUGGUAGUC
rnacentral:rRNA from 1 species